rnacentral:rRNA from 1 species
AUUGAACGCUGGCGGCAGGCUUAACACAUCCAAGUCGAACGAGUGGCGGACGGGUGAGUAAUGCUUGGGAAUCUAGCUUAUGGAGGGGGCUAACUACGGGAAACUGUAGCUAAUACCGCGUACCAUAGGAUGAGCCCAAGUGGGAUUAGGUAGUUGGUGAGGUAAAGGCUCACCAAGCCGACGAUCUCUAGCUGGUCUGAGAGGAUGACCAGGAACACGGGGACUGAGACACGGCCAAGAGUGCUAAGGGAGGCAGCAGUGGGGAAUAUUGCGCAAUGGGGGAAACCUGACGAAGCCAUGCCGGGUGAAGGAAGAAGGCCUUCGGGUUGUAAAGUUCUUUCGGUAGAGAGGCGUUAACUACAGAAGAAGCACCGGCUAACUCCGUGCCAGCAGCCGCGGUAAUAC